CGCCCUUGUGCCAAGCAGCCGCGGUAAUUCCAGCUCCAAUAGCGUAUAUUAAAGUUGUUGCGGUUAAAAAGCUCGUAGUUGGAUCUCGGCGGGCAGGGGGUGGUUCGCUCUUCAGCGCUACUGCCCCGCUUUGCCCGUGUGAUUGGCGGAGGUUUCGGGGUGCUCUUCGUUGAGUGACUCGGAGCGCCGUCAGGUUUACUUUGAAAAAAUUAGAGUGCUCAAAGCAGGCUUUUCACGCUUGAAUAUUCGUGCAUGGAAUAAUGGAAUAGGAACUCGUUUCUAUUUUGUUGGUUUUCGGAAAUCGAGUUAAUGAUUAACAGGGACAAUUGGGGGCAUUAGUAUUCAGACGACAGAGGUGAAAUUCUUGGACCGUCUGAAGACUGACUACUGCGAAAGCAUUUGCCAAGAGUGUUUUCAUUAAUCAAGAACGAAAGUUAGAGGUUCGAAGGCGAUCAGAUACCGCCCUAGUUCUAACCAUAAACGAUGCCAGCUAGCGAUCUGCCGAGUUUUUUUUGUAGGCUCCGCAGGAAGCUUUCGGGAAACCAAAGCUUUUGGGUUCCGGGGGAAGUAUGGUUGCAAAGCUGAAACUUAAAGGAAUUGACGGAAGGGCACCACCAGGAGUGGAGCCUGCGGCUUAAUUUGACUCAACACGGGAAAUCUCACCAGGCCCGGACACUGGAAGGAUUGACAGAUUGAGAGCUCUUUCUCGAUUCGGUGGGUGGUGGUGCAUGGCCGUUCUUAGUUGGUGGAGUGAUUUGUCUGGUUAAUUCCGAUAACGAACGAGACUCUGUCCUGCUAAAUAGUUGGGUCGUCCUUCGUGCGAUCCAAGUUCUUCUUAGAGGGACUGGCUGCGUCUAGCAGCACGAGAUUGAGCAAUAACA
rnacentral:rRNA from 1 species